rnacentral:rRNA from 1 species
GGACGCAAGUCUGAUGGAGCAACGCCGCGUGAGUGAAGAAGGGUUUCGGCUCGUAAAGCUCUGUUGGUAGUGAAGAAAGAUAGAGGUAGUAACUGGCCUUUAUUUGACGGUAAUUACUUAGAAAGUCACGGCUAACUACGUGCCAGCAGCCGCGGUAAUACGUAGGUGGCAAGCGUUGUCCGGAUUUAUUGGGCGUAAAGCGAGUGCAGGCGGUUCAAUAAGUCUGAUGUGAAAGCCUUCGGCUCAACCGGAGAAUUGCAUCAGAAACUGUUGAACUUGAGUGCAGAAGAGGAGAGUGGAACUCCAUGUGUAGCGGUGGAAUGCGUAGAUAUAUGGAAGAACACCAGUGGCGAAGGCGGCUCUCUGGUCUGCAACUGACGCUGAGGCUCGAAAGCAUGGGUAGCGAACAGGAUUAGAUACCCUGGUAGUCCAUGCCGUAAACGAUGAGUGCUAAGUGUUGGGAGGUUUCCGCCUCUCAGUGCUGCAGCUAACGCAUUAAGCACUCCGCCUGGGGAGUACGACCGCAAGGUUGAAACUCAAAGGAAUUGACGGGGGCCCGCACAAGCGGUGGAGCAUGUGGUUUAAUUCGAAGCAACGCGAAGAGCCUUACCAGGUCUUGACAUCCAGUGCAAACCUAAGAGAUUAGGUGUUCCCUUCGGGGACGCUGAGACAGGUGGUGCAUGGCUGUCGUCAGCUCGUGUCGUGAGAUGUUGGGGUUAAGU